UUUUUAAUUGCAGCAAAUUUGAAACCCAAAAACUGGCUGGGGCUUAUCAAUCCAUGUAAAAUUGGAACUGCCCAAUAAUACCCCCUACCAGUACCCCAGAUGGUCACCCUUGCAGGCAUCGUAAGAGAUGGUUGCUCUUUAUAUCGGUUUUACCUUUCUUGGUUCCUGGUGAAGCACCAGAAGAAUUGAGCCGUCUUGGCAGACAAGGAGGUUUCCCCUGUGUUCAUCCAGGUCGAUUCCCUAAUGAUUAGCAAUAGGAUCAGACCCUAUUGAAUUUUCUUAUUUUUCUGAAUUCUUAACACUCCAUUUGGUUUUCGGAACGUUAAAAACAAUAUCAGUUUCUCAGAAAUUUUUUUUUGGGUCAUAUUUUCCAGCAGCCGAAAUCCAAAUGGGGUUGAAUCUCUUUAUUAUAUUCUUUAUGGCAUACUACAUGUUUGUUACAAUUACAAGUUCAUAUUUUCAAGAUUUCCCUUUUCAUUCCUGAUUGAAUAAUGCAGAAGAAACACAAAAGUAGGAAAUUUUCCUGUAGAUUUUAGUGCACAACGUUCUUGAAUGCUUCCAUGUAUUAGGAAAUCAUGCUAGAGAUAAAAGGAUACCUAAGUGUUCAUUUAUUAAUUUUGCCCCUGUUUUCGUGCUAAGAAUUAUUUCCAUUAGAAAAGGAAUUGAAUUCUAAGAUUUUUAACACAUAAAAGAUAUAAACCAGCUCCCUCUGUCCACCCCUUAAGGGAUCUUUGAGUUUGUUAGACUUGGUUACACCUUAAUAUGGAUUCUGGUUUAUGGUUAGGCUACAAAUCCAACAGUGAGAAAGGAAUUCUAGUUUUCAAGAAAGAACAAUAAAAGACAGGAAAUCCAAAGGUAGAUUUUUAUUAUGUACAAUCCAUGUUCCUGGAGUGAGUCCAAGUCAAGUCUCAAAUAUCGACCUUCUUGAACUUUUGAAGUUGAAAUUCAUAAACUGGGUGGAAAGUAUCCCAAAGCUUGACUUUAUCUAGAGUAUGCAUCAACUACUCUCUGUGACACUAAAAUAAUUAUCCCUCAUGGUUCUCUCCAUCCCUGAAUUUCUUGCAUUUUCAAUCCUACUCUUGCAUAACUAUUGCACAUCCCACCAAGAGUAGGGGAAUGUGGGAAGAGAGAGGUGGAUGCAGCACAACAUGACUUCCCACUUCAGUUGUUUGGGGGCAAAGAUCACAAGAUCAUCGAAUGGACUUUGACCUUAGUGGGUUCAGACACAAGGAUGGACUAUGCACCCUUUUUACUGCUACAAUGUUGGCAUGGGCCAAAUGCUCAAACCUUUGUAGGUACUGUAACAGCCCCCAACCAACUAUCCUACCCUAACAUACACAACACUAGGUAUUUGACUCAGACCUCUGUUGAAGGAGGUUCACCUUCAUUUGAGAAGCACAUUGGUGUUUGGGUAUCCUUCUUCAGAGGUUUUUGUUGUAUUAACCAGGUCCAGCCAAGUGGAUAACAAAUUUUCUUGCAAUACUUGAUGUCAAUGUUGAGGGAGUUUCCAAUUUUGCCUUCUACACCUUUAAAAGAGCCGUCUAUUGAAGUUGAGUCCUCUAAAGCUAUCUUUAGUAGUGGCAUUAGACGAGCUAGGUAAAAAUCUGGAGAGAAAGCUACCCUCCAUUCCUUUCAAGCAAGGAAAGCAUUAGUGAAAGAGAACCCAUCCAUUUAAAGGAGGCUUUUAGUGAAGCCAAGUCCUCUAAAGCUAUUGUUUGUAGUGGCCUAAGCUUGACUGAGGUAAAAUUCUGAAGAAGAAGCGACCAUCCCUUCCUCUUGAGCAGGAAAAAGCACUCCUGAAAGAGAACCCAAGUUAAGAGCUGCUAUAAACUAAUCUUGAGUUCUCUAUACAAGGUUAUUGUGUCUAACUCAAGGAAUAGAUAUAUGAGUCUAGAAUGGAUUCUAUCUAUUAAAACCCAGCUGUAUUCAAUUUUGAGAUCUUUUACUUGUUUCAAUUGUGGAUUUGAUGCUGUCAUCAACAUACUAUAUAGCAUACCGUGUGUGGUAUAGUUACGUAUCAUAUUUUGGGAUAGUUUUUGCUUAGAGUUUACAAACAGUUGUAAUGUCUUAAAUUCUUAAAUUUAGUUACAAUUCAUUUUGUUUAGAGUUUCUUGAAGAUGUGAACUUAUCUCAAGAUUUUCUUAUUGAUAUAAAAGUUCUCAUAUGAUGAGGAACUGAGUUGGAAUUAAGUUAGAAGUGUAAAGGAAAGAAGGGAAACACUGAUAGAGCAUUGACAACAUGAGCUGCUGAAGUAUGGAAACACGAAUUUAUUUCAUGGCUGAUAUAGAGCAUGAGAAUUAACAUGAGUUUGUUCAUGGCUUGAGUUACAAUGUAGCUAGUAGGAGCCCUGGCUUGAAUUUUGGUACCCAUUAUAAUUUUCCAUAUGAUUUGUUGGAUCUUCUAGUUCUUCAACAUCUAUACUCGGGAAUGAAAAUUGUAUUUCCUGAAAUGAAUUUCCAGAAUGUAACAGAUUGGUAAUUUGAUAUUUCCAAUUCCUGAUAUAAUGUUCAAUUAGGAUUGGUAAUUUGAUAUUUCAGUCAAUUUAGUUCAUCAACAUCAAUUCUCAAUGUAAAGUUCGAUUAGAAUUAGUAAUUUGAUAUUUUUGUCAAUUUAUUCCUAUCCUAGCAUAUGUUUUAUCUUAGAAAUUACUUGAAAAUUAAUGCAAAUUUACAUAAUAGUACUCCUCUGUGUAAUAUUGAGAAAAAUUAGAUUUUGUCAUAAAUAAAGAAAAAAUAACAUGUGUAAUAUUGAGAAAAAUUAGAUUUGUCAUAGAUAAAAAAAGAAUAACAUGUAGUUUGGUAAAUCAACUUAAUGACUUAAUAUGACUUAAUGACUUAAUCCAAGUCAUUAAAUAAAUUAAAUAUGUGUGGUAAAAUAACUUAAUAUCACAACUUAAAGUAAAAAAUAACUGUAAGUAUUAAAUCAAAAUAAUUAACUUAUUCUUAAUCUCAAAUCAUUUUUACCUCAUUUAUUCGUGUUUAAAGAAAAUAUAUUUUACAACUAUGACUUUACAUUCACAAUUCAUCUUUUAUAGGAAAUUUUUUCGUAGUGAUCUUACGCUGCUACAAUCUUUUAAAUGUGAAUGUUUAACAAAUAAAUUUAUUAUUUAAUAUUAGUGAAAAUAUAAAUAUUAGUUAAAAUUAUAAAAAUAUAAAUAUGUCAAUUUGAUUAUUUAGAAUAAAAUUUAAAUUAACUUUACCAAACAACUUUAAUACUUAAAGUAUAUUUUAAGUCAACAACUUAAAAAUAAUUUAAUUUAAAGUCAACUUAAAUCAUUAAGUAAUUAAUAUUAAAUUUAACCAAACAUUACGCAUUUAUCAACUUUUUUUUUUUUUUUUUUCAUUCCCUGAGGAUGAGAAUAAAAAAAGACCACAAGGGUAAGACACCAUUUGAAUUCUGGGAUAUUAUAUACAAAGAUAUCAAGACUAUCAACACCCACAAACCAAACAAACCCAGAGUGGAAUCCUCAUCCUAUCAGAGGUAAACAUAGUUUGAAGGACAAAUUGGGUAUGGAUGUGGGUCCUUGCCAAACGCUUCUACUUUGAAUUGAAUAUUGGAGUUAAUUGAUUUAUUGUUUUACUCUUGACUUCCUUAGCAAAUAGUUAUAUUGAAGAAAAAGAUAGUUUGCUGGUAGUGAACUUUUAUAAAAAUAUUUGGAGGUAAGAAAGAAAAAAAUAUCCUUGCUUUUGAUUGAUUUCUAAUUGCUUUUAGGUUUAUUCUUUUUCCUUUUUUAUGCCAUAUCCAAGUGUUUAUACCUAUUAUUGAGAGGUAGUUGAGCUCCCGUAUCUUGAAAUUUUUAAGUAUGAAGGAUUAGAGAUGUAGACACAUACUCAUACCCAACACACAUCACACACAAAACCCAUGCAAAGUCACAACAUGUGGCAUUAGAAGCUUCUGUCCAGACACAACACCAGCACUAAUCAUCAAUGACCUGGACAGUAAAAGAUCUCUUUCUGUAAUUCGUGUGGGGUUUACAUAAAAAAAUAUCCAUGUUUUGCUGUGUUUGUAAGAGCUAAUGGUUCUAUUACGGUGACUAGACAUUAAUGCUUGUUCUCUCAGUCCUACGAUUGAUUUGGUUCCCCUGUUCCAGAAUUAGGUUUCUUAGACCUCCAUGUAGGGUCUAAGCUGCUUCUAAUCAAGCUAUAGGCUGGUAGUAUUAUAAUGCAUGCAUCGUUUAAUUUCCUUCUUUUGUUUCUUAAUUUGUGCUUCUUUUUUUGUUAGUCAGAAAAUAUCAUUGAAAGUAAUUUUAGUCAGACAUUGCAGCAAUUAAAUUGUGACUAAGCUUGUAAGAUAGGGAUUCCAUUGAUUUUAUAUUUUCCCAAUUAAAGUUGUUGAUGCCUGAUUACUCUCUUAUCAUCCAUGACCUGACUUUGUGCCAACAAGAAGAUACAAAGUUGUCCAAGUUCUCCAAGUUCUCAAUCACAUAUUACAUUUAUGUGGACCUAAACUCAGAAAACUUGUUAAGAGCUGCUCUCUAUGAUUAAAAAAAAAGUGGGGGAAAAUCAUACAAUUUUAUUAAUUAUAACAGUAAUCUGCAGAGGGAAAUCAGAGAGAGAGAAAAGAAAAUAACAGUAAUUUGUAUCGCUGAAGUGAUAUUCCUACCACUUUAGAUAGCUUAAAGGGUUUAUCUGAAACAGGUACGCACUUGACAACCCAGCCGAUUGGCCAAGAUGCAGCAGCAAUUCCAAUGCAUGCACCCCAUUGUCCCCAAUCCAACCUCUCUGUAUCUGCAAAUUUCUUCAAAAAUUCCACCAUAACCACCUGAAGGAUAAUGGUUAUCCCAAUGAUCCCCAGAAAUAGCUUGUUCUUAUGUAACCCCUUAAACACAUUCUUCUUCUCGAGUUUCCUUGCAUUGAAUUCAUUGAAGACUUGGCAAAGUACAAAUGUAUUGAAUAUCAAGGUAUCCUUUACCUUCUCACUUACCCCAAAGAUUGAUUCUCCUUUGAACUGUAGGGUCAAGAGGACAGCUAUCUGAUACAAAGCUUGGGCUAAUAGAUUCCGCCACAUGAUGUUGGAGAUAAGCGGCUCUGUCCGACCCAUGGGUGGUUUCUCCAUCAGCUCCUUGGUGGGUUGCUCUGUGGCAAGGGC
rnacentral:lncRNA from 1 species